rnacentral:lncRNA from 1 species
ACGGUGUUUGGUUUUUUGUUCUUGUGAUAGUUUACUGAGAAUGAUGAUUUCCAAUUUCAUCCAUGUCCCUACAAAGGACAUGAACUCAUCAUUUUUAUGGCUGCAUAGUAUUCCAUGGUGUAUAUGUGCCACAUUUUCUGAAUCCAGUCUAUCAUUGUUGGACUUUUGGGUUGGUUCCAAGUCUUUGCUAUUGUGAAUAGUGCCGCAAUAAACAUACGUGUGCAUGUGUCUUUAUAGCAGCAUGAUUUAUAGUCCUUUGGGUAUAUACCCAGUAAUGACAUGGCUGGGUCAAAUGGUAUUUCUAGUUCUAGAUCCCUGAGGAAUCACCACACUGACUUCGAAAAGGUUGAACUGGUUUACAGUCCCAC